UACAGAGGGUGCGAGCGUUGUCCGGAAUUACUGGGCGUAAAGGGCGCGUAGGCGGCCUGAUAAGUCGGGGGUGAAAUUCAGCGGCUCAACCGCUGGACUGCCUUCGAGACUGUUAGGCUCGAGCACGGUAGAGGCUGGUGGAAUUCCCGGUGUAGCGGUGGAAUGCGUAGAGAUCGGGAAGAACAUCGGUGGCGAAGGCGGCCAGCUGGGCCGUUGCUGACGCUGAUGCGCGACAGCGUGGGGAGCAAACAGGAUUAGAUACCCUGGUAGUCCACGCCGUAAACGAUGGGUACUAGGCGCCGGGGGGAGCGACCCCUUCGGUGCCGUCGUUAACACAGUAAGUACCCCGCCUGGGGAGUACGGCCGCAAGGCUGAA
rnacentral:rRNA from 1 species